rnacentral:rRNA from 1 species
UGGCCGUAAACGAUGUGGACUUGGUGUUGGAAUGGCUCCGAGCUGCUCCAGUGCCGAAGGGAAGCUGUUAAGUCCACCGCCUGGGAAGUACGGUCGCAAGACUGAAACUUAAAGGAUUGGCGGGGGAGCACCACAACGCGUGGAGCCGGCGGUUUAAUUGGAUUCAACGCCGGACAUCUCACCAGGGGCGAUAGCAGAAUGAUGGCCAGGUUGAUGACCUUGCUUGACAAGCUGAGAGGAGGUGCAUGGCGUGUGACUGU